rnacentral:rRNA from 1 species
CCUACGGGAGGCAGCAGUAGGGAAUAUUGCUCAAUGGGGGAAACCCUGAAGCAGCAACGCCGCGUGGAGGAUGAAGGUUUUCGGAUUGUAAACUCCUUUUGGUAGAGAAGAUAAUGACGGUAUCUAAAGAAUAAGCACCGGCUAACUCCGUGCCAGCAGCCGCGGUAAUACGGAGGGUGCAAGCGUUACUCGGAAUCACUGGGCGUAAAGAGCGCGUAGGCGGGAUAGCAAGUCAGAUGUGAAAUCCUAUGGCUUAACCAUAGAACUGCAUUUGAAACUGUUAUUCUAGAGUAUUGGAGAGGUAGGUGGAAUUCUUGGUGUAGGGGUAAAAUCCGUAGAGAUCAAGAGGAAUACUCAUUGCGAAGGCGACCUGCUAGAACAUAACUGACGCUGAUGCGCGAAAGCGUGGGGAGCAAACAGGAUUAGAUACCCGAGUAGUC